rnacentral:misc_RNA from 1 species
UAUGUGGCGCUGCCGCUCCGC